rnacentral:rRNA from 1 species
GAUGAACGCUGGCGGCGUGCCUAACACAUGCAAGUCGAGCGAUUUACUUCGGUAAAGAGCGGCGGACGGGUGAGUAACGCGUGGGUAACAUGCCCUGUACACACGGAUAACAUACCGAAAGGUAUGCUAAUACGAGAUAAUAUACUUUUAUCGCAUGGUAGAAGUAUCAAAGCUUUUGCGGUACAGGAUGGACCCGCGUCUGAUUAGCUAGUUGGUAAGGUAACGGCUUACCAAGGCGACGAUCAGUAGCCGACCUGAGAGGGUGAUAGGCCACAUUGGAACUGAGACACGGUCCAAACUCCUACGGGGGGCAGCAGUGGGAAUAUUGCACAAUGGGCGAAAGCCUGAUGCAGCAACGCCGCGUGAGCGAUGAAGGCCUUCGGGUCGUAAAGCUCUGUCCUCAAGGAAGAUAAUGACGGUACUUGAGGAGGAAGCCCCGGCUAACUACGUGCCAGCCGCCGCGGUAA